GUAAUUCCUCAAAUGACAAAAUGAAUUUAUCUACAUUUCUAAUAAUGAAAUCAGCUUCAUCACUGGAAUGGGAUCCUGGUAGCAGACUUCUCAGUCAUCUUGCAGCAAUGUGGAAGGACAUGUUUGCUUCUCCUGCCAUGGCUGGAAGUUUCCUGAGGCCUCCCCAGCCAUCCUGAACUGCUCAUAGGCAGAAGGGACUUGCCUUGUCUCAGAUGAGACUUUGGACUUGGACUUUUGAGACCAUACUGGAAUGAUUUAAGACUUUGGGGGACUAUUGGAAGGACAUGAUUAUUUUUUGAAUUGUGAGGACAUGAGAUUUGGGAGGGGCCAGGGGCAGAAUGAUAUGGUUUUGCCAUGUCCCCCCGCCCAAAUCUCAUCUUGAAUUAUAGUUCCCAUAAUCCCCACAUGUCAUAGGAAGUAUCUGGUAGGAGGUAAUUGAAUCAUGGGGGUGGUUCCCCCAUGCUAUUCUUGUGAUAGUGAGUUCUCAGGAGAUCUGAUGGUUUUAUAAGGGGCUUCCCCUGCACUUGGUUUUUCAUUCUUCUGUCGCCUGCUGCCAUGUGAAGAAAGAAGUGUUUGCUUCCCCUUCCAUCAUGGUUGGACGUUUCCUGAGGCCUCUCCAGUCAUGCUGAGCUAGGUACCUGGUGCCAGUUCCUGAGACUUGAGGAUUCUGGUUGGUUCUCAGCACAGGAGUCAGCCUGCUCUGAUUUGCUAGUGCGUCUAGAGUGUUGACAGUUGUUUCCAUGGACUUCAAAUCAACCCAACCCUGUGAGCACAGACUUUCAGCACCAGAGUCAGAUUUCCCAAAAAUGCUAUUCUUGAAGCGUAGAGCCAGACUCACAGAUCCUGUAAAGAAAACAGAUCUUUCAGCAAGUGAAACACCCAAUCUUCCAUUGCAUGGGACUCACAGAGGUUCUGAGGGAGAGAUGUGAAUAGAAGGAGUGAUCAUCACUGUGGACUCUAUUUCUUCCAUCUGUGCGUGCAAGAUUUAUAUCUGUAUGUGUUUGUUUUAAAGUUUUAUUGAGGUAUAAUUGAUACACAAUAAUCUGUACCUAUUUAAUGUAUACAAUUUGAUGAGUUUGGACAUACUUAAAUACCUGUGAAACCAUCACCACAAUCAAGGUAAUAGACAUAGCCAUCACCUCCAAAAGUUUCUUUGUGUCCCUUUGUGGUUUGUUUCUGAGAUAAGAACACUUAACAUGUGGACUCUUGACACUCUCCUUGGAUCUCUUAAUUUGAUUGCUGUUGCUGUCACCACAUUGACUUCCUAGCCCUGCUGAUCCUCCUUUAUCACUAGCUCUAGAAAAAAAAACAAACCAAA
rnacentral:lncRNA from 1 species